GCUCUUUUCUAAGCCUACAUCCUUCUCUCAUCUCUGCUAAAGGGAAGCCCUGAGGCCGUUGCACCAAAGUUAGACAGCUGUCCCCGGCUGCAGUGGACCAUCCUGGUAGGCAGAGUGGACACAGGGUCAGGAGAGAGUGAAGCAGAAGACAGAACCCCGUGAUGGACUGGGGAACGACUGACCAGGAUUUCUGGAAAGAUGUUAACAUGUUACAGGGUUUCAUCAGUGUUGUGUCAGUUAAUCAGAGGAAGUGGGAUAACCGUCACCUUCUGAUCAGAGGGAGAGCUGCCCUGGGGGAGAUGGCGUAGCAUCGAGCCCAGCUCUCGGUCUGUGCUGGAGUCUUGGCUCGGAGGAGAGUUCUCUUGGUUAGGGUUAGAGACAAAGAAAGAGGAAGAAGUGGAGGAGAGGAAAGAAGAGAAACCGAACCAGAGAGAAGCCCAGAGAGAGACUGUGAAAGGAAGUGAUUCACACGCAAGAGAAACUAAAACUGGAGGGUAACCACCCAAACUUCGAAAGGCUCUGGUCGACCUCACGGAGGAAACACUCAUCUUUCAAAGGCACCUGCUCCUCCCCCUCCUUCCCUGAGGGCACAUUUGCCUCUUCUGGAGCCCCUGCUGCCCUUACCUACUCGGAGCCAGCAGCCGGCCAGGCCUACCUUUGAAGGGGUGGAUAAACCUGGCUGGUCCACUGGGAACACGGAAGGACGGAUGUGAUGAUGCCUGAAGGAGUGGAGGGAUGGGGAUUAAGAGCAUGUGGGGCUGUUGGGAAUAGAGUCCCCGCUCUGCCAUUCCCCGGCUCCUUGAGUUUGGGCAAACCGCGCAGCCUCGAAGCCUUAGUCGUCUCACAGAGCACGGAACAACAAUCACGCCCAUCUCUAGUGCUGUGGAGCGAAAUGAGAGGUGCAUAGAGCUUAGAACACCGCCUAGCGCGUGACAGACUCACUGAAAAAGCAUCUUCGAAGAUUUGCCCUGAAUUCAACGGUAACCUGCUCCUACACUCCCUUCCCCUCGCCCCUUCCCCUCCGGAGCAAGCAAGCGCAGUAACCAACAAGGCCCAUCCAUCAACUCUCAGUCUCACCUUUGUCAUGCAGAGUGGACUCGCCGCUAGCUACAAGGACCCCGGCCCCCCCAAAACACACCAACACACGGGCGCACACACACAUCCUGCGCACCACACACAUAAUUUCUCAAAAGCCAAAUUAAAGUCACCGUCCAUCCACUGACAGAAGCCUCAUUCCUAUUCCCUUCUCCCAGGGGAAUCUGCACUUUCCGUUGACAUCACCCUCCCACCCCCAUCCUCUAACACAGGCACAAACCGGUCACCAUCCCACUUCUCCUCCCCUACUCUAUUGCUCAGUAAUUAUAUUCUCCGCCUCCCAGUGUCAUGCUAAUACAGGCUCCUGGCACAGCUGCCCAGAUUAAAUUAGAGCCCCAACCAGCAGGCUGACUAAUUAUAUUUUGGGCCAGGAAUUCUCUUCCCCCACCUUUGGGGUCCUGGGCCAACGAGGAGUAAAUGAGCACUGCCAAUAUUUGCUGAGGAUAUUUGACUCUUCUUGCCUGGGUGGUUUUGUCUUCCCCAACCAAUCUGGGCCCCUUGAAUUAGAUUAGACCAGAAUGAGAGAAGAGAGUUUUACUCAAAGGACCUUCCGCAAUCCAUCUAUCCUCCUGCCGGCCAGCUCAGCUGUGCCUGGCCGCCCUCCGCAGGCCAAGGAAGAAAGAAUGGCACGGAACUCUUUCCCAAGAAGGAGAUGCUACGCCUACCGUUGGGAGUCCUUCCCCUUGUCCCCCCUCCAAAGUCUUUUCUCCAAAUAGUCUUUGUCACCCGUCAGCAAUGAUCGCUGCUAAAUCCUUUUCCUUCUGUCUCAUGGAAAAGGAUGCUACGUUCCUUACAGAAUACUGAUUUGCAGCUUAUCCUUCUGAUUUGUCUCUCCUCAUUCAUGGCUGGAGCAUAACAAAUAUUUCAAAUUGCCUGGAGACAAAGUCUGCCAGCCUUUCAUUUCCUUAUUCCAUGAACACUUAUGUGCACUCACCACACGCCCCAUAGUGAGAGGGAUGUUAAAGAGGGCAAGGUGUAGCUCCUGCUUUGAAGAAGACCAGGGCCUCAUGAUCGGUCUAACUGCACAUAGAUGUGCAGGUGUGGUCUAAAGAGAACACGUGGUUCUGGCUCAUGAAUCAUGUGAGGACCCCAAACAGGAUUGUCCAGACACCAAGUCUCCUCUGCUCUUCUUCAGACAUCAGAUGAGUUUGGGGUGCUUGUGUGGGAAGUGCGCUGGGUACCAUCGUGACAUGCUGGUACUCGUAGUGCUGGUCGAAGGACUUGUCCGAGUGGGGCAGGGAGCUGCAGGUCCGCGUGAGAUCAAGGCUGCGACUGGACAGCCAGACCCUUGUUUGUAAGGCCCUCCUUCAGCAUAAGUGAUUGACUGUAUCAGAACGAGAUGCUGUGGGUCUGAAAUUCCAUAGCCCUUGAGGAUGCUGCCACUUCCUCAGCAUGUGUCUUAUGUUAUAGUCGCCUUUCAUACUUCCACACACACACAGGCCUUAUCUAUCUUCUCACCCUCUCCAGGUGGUUAGAAGAUUAUGAACUUUGCAGUCAGGUCAGCGUGGGUUAGCGGUCCCCAUGGUACUGAAUAGGAAUUGGCUCACGUGAUUAGGAAGGUGGAGAAGUCCUACGAUCUGCUGACUGCGAGCUGGAGUACCAGGAAAGCUGAUGGUGUCAUUCGGCCCAAGAUGGAAGUCCUGAGAACCAGGGGAGCUGAUGAUUCAAAGUCCAAGUCCAGCUCCAAAGGCCCGGGAAAGGGGAGCGCCUGAGGGCAGGAGAAGAUGGAUGGCCCCGCUCAGGCUGAGAGAGAAUCCGUCCUUCCUCCACCGCUCUGUUCUGUUCUGGUGCUCAGCACUGGGAGGAUGUUCACCUGCAUGGGGGAGGAUGAUCUUCUUCCUUCUUUAUUCAAAUACCAAUCUCCUCCAGAAACGCCCUCACAGACAUACCCAGAAAUGUUUCACAGGUUGUCUGGGCAUCUCUUAGCCCAGUCGAAUUGACACAUAAAAUUAACUAUCACAAAUAAAUAUUAAA